AGUGAACGCUGGCGGUAGGCCUAACACAUGCAAGUCGAACGGCAGCACAGGAGAGCUUGCUCUCUAGGUGGCGAGUGGCGGACGGGUGAGGAAUACAUCGGAAUCUGCCCAGUCGUGGGGGAUAACGUAGGGAAACUUACGCUAAUACCGCAUACGACCUUCGGGUGAAAGAGGGGGAUCGCAAGACCUCUCGCGAUUGGAUGAGCCGAUGUCGGAUUAGCUAGUUAGCGGGGUAAUGGCACACCAAGGCGACGAUCCGUAGCUGGUCUGAGAGGAUGAUCAGCCACACUGGAACUGAGACACGGUCCAGACUCCUACGGGAGGCAGCAGUGGGGAAUAUUGGACAAUGGGCGCAAGCCUGAUCCAGCCAUACCGCGUGGGUGAAGAAGGCCUUCGGGUUGUAAAGCCCUUUUGUUGGGAAAGAAAUCUUUCAGGCUAAUACCCUGGGAGGAUGACGGUACCCAAAGAAUAAGCACCGGCUAACUUCGUG
rnacentral:rRNA from 1 species